UCAAAAUAAUACAGCCGAGGAACACUCCACCGCAAAUUGCUUCACUAAAAUAUUCACCGUGACUACUCAACGAUAGACACACGUUUGCUGCUAAAAUGUAUUAACAUUAUACUCACAAAUG